rnacentral:misc_RNA from 1 species
AGCAGCCGCGGUAAUUCCAGCUCCAAUAGCGUAUAUUAAAGUUGCUGCAGUUAAAAGCUCGUAGUUGAAUUUCGGGACUAAUAUGUCGGUCGUGCCUCGGUACGUACUGGCUUAUUGGUUUCUCCUUUCUGAAGAACCAUGAUGUCAUUUAUUUGGUGUCGUGGGGAAUCAGGACUGUUACUUUGAAAAAUUAGAGUGUUUAAAGCAGGCUCACGCUUGAAUACAUUAGCAUGGAAUAAUGAAAUAGGACGUUUGAUUCUAUUUUGUUGGUUUCUAGGAUCGACGUAAUGAUUAAUAGGGAUAGUUGGGGGCAUUAGUAUUCAAUUGUCAGAGGUGAAAUUCUUGGAUUUAUUGAAGACUAACUACUGCGAAAGCAUUUGCCAAGGAUGUUUUCAUUAAUCAAGAACGAAAGUUAGGGAUCGAAGACGAUCAGAUACCGUCGUAGUCUUAACCAUAAACUAUGCCGACUAGGGAUCGGAUGAUGUUAAUUUUUAAUGACCCAUUCGGCGCCUUACGGGAA